GACCUGGCGGAAUGCUUUACACACUGCAAGUCGAACGAUGAACCUUAGCUUGCUAGGGGGAUUAGUGGCGAACGGGUGAGUAAUAUAUCGGAACGUGCCUUGUAAUGGGGGAUAACUAGUCGAAAGAUUAGCUAAUACCGCAUACGCCCUGAGGGGGAAAGUAGGGGAUCUUCGGACCUUACGUUAUAAGAGCGGCCGAUAUCUGAUUAGCUAGUUGGUGGGGUAAUGGCCUACCAAGGCUUCGAUCAGUAGCUGGUCUGAGAGGACGACCAGCCACUCUGGAACUGAGACACGGUCCAGACUCCUACGGGAGGCAGCAGUGGGGAAUUUUGGACAAUGGGCGCAAGCCUGUAGGUCGGUAAGGCGCACUCACUUCUUCCGGAAGCCCAACAUUUCGAGAAAGUCGUUCCCUUCUUUUGAAUGUAAAAUUAUUUCACACUCAGACUGCCAUGGAACUAUUCUUCGUGGCCGAUUGAUGCACGGUCGUCGGCGCCAUUAUGCAUCCCACGCUCGCAAUUAGCCUUAAUGACCCGCAUUUCGCACGCGUCCGCCAAACCGUUCAGUCUACACUUUAGGGGCUCGAGUUGAACCCUUGACGCAAACUUUGACGGUCUGAUCUUAUACAGUCUCCCCCCAUCUUAAGGUGCACAUCGUCACUUUACGCAUCUCUACACCUCCUUAUGGUUACCGCUUCCGUCGGGGGACCCUAUUAUAACUGCGAGUACGUGCUUUCGCACCCCUCGUUUGUCCUAAUCUAUGGGACCAUCAGGUGCGGGGAUUUGCUACAGAUGAUCAACAACCACCUCAUUUUAGGUACUCAUUGGCAGCUAACGCGUGAAGCAGACCGCCUGGGGAGUACGGUCGCAAGAUUAAAACUCAAAGGAAUUGACGGGGGCCCGCACAAGCGGUGGAUUAUGUGGAUUAAUUCGAUGCAACGCGAAAAACCUUACCUGGCCUUGACAUGCCACUAACGAAGCAGAGAUGCAUUAGGUGCCCGUAAGGGAAAGUGGACACAGUGCUGCAUGCUGUCGUCGACUCGUGUCGUGGAUU
rnacentral:rRNA from 1 species